GAACAGCUGGCGGCGUGCUUAACACAUGCAAGUCGAGCGGUAAGGCUCCUUCGGGAGUACACGAGCGGCGAACGGGUGAGUAACACGUGAGCAAUCUGCCCUUCACUUCGGGAUAACUCCGGGAAACCGGUGCUAAUACCGAAUACGACCACUUCAGGCAUCUGAUGGUGGUGGAAAGUUCCGGCGGUGAAGGAUGAGCUCGCGGCCUAUCAGCUUGUUGGUGGGGUAACGGCCCACCAAGGCAACGACGGAUAGCCGGCCUGAGAGGGUGACCGGCCACACUGGGACUGAGACACGGCCCAGACUCCUACGGGAGGCAGCAGUGGGGAAUAUUGGACAAUGGGCGAAAGCCUGAUCCAGCAACGCCGCGUGAGGGAUGACUGCCUUCGGGUUGUAAACCUCUUUCAGCAGGGACGAAGCGCAAGUGACGGUACCUGCAGAAGAAGCACCGGCCAACUACGUGCCAGCAGCCGCGGUAAUACGUAGGGUGCGAGCGUUGUCCGGAAUUAUUGGGCGUAAAGGGCUCGUAGGCGGUCUGUCGCGUCGGGAGUGAAAACUCAGGGCUUAACCCUGAGCCUGCUUCCGAUACGGGCAGACUAGAGGUAUGCAGGGGAGAACGGAAUUCCUGGUGUAGCGGUGGAAUGCGCAGAUAUCAGGAGGAACACCGGUGGCGAAGGCGGUUCUCUGGGCAUUACCUGACGCUGAGGAGCGAAAGUGUGGGGAGCGAACAGGAUUAGAUACCCUGGUAGUCCACACCGUAAACGUUGGGCGCUAGGUGUGGGACUCAUUCCACGAGUUCCGUGCCGCA
rnacentral:rRNA from 1 species